UCAAGUAUUGGGAAUGUCGUAAGCGGCUCAAUUUUUGCUGGAUUGCAAUCAGUCGGUGCAACUGGCACAGGGUCUAUAGUGGGCGGUGUCAUGGGGGCCGCGACUAUACCAUUGAUUCGUUAUGCUGGUGUUUUCUCUGGAUCAAAAAAGGCAUAAAAAUGAGCUGAUGUUGACGAUAACGGCGGAACAUUUCAAAUGUCACGGAAAUAUCAAAUAAAAUAUGUUCAAGUUAUCAUAAUCUGUAUUUUUUUUAUUAUCCAUGUGACACUGUUUAUAUUUUGUAAACACUAUUUACGUAUAUUUGAAGAACCAACGAAAUUGAAGAGUUCCAAUUGGCCUACAUGCCAGAGGCCAGGUGUAAUCAAGGCCCCAGUCACCGAAUAAAAGAAAACGAGUUCGCAGUUUGAAAUAAAUUUAAGUUGAUGGAUGUAAAAUUGAUUGUAGAAGAUCAUAAUUGAAACAUUUUUCAAAAAUCCAUGUAACAGAAAUAAAAUUUGGGCCAAAGUUUAACUUUGUCCUCAACCCGUGGAAAGGAAAAAUGAGAACCACUGCAAUGGCGAUCCUUUUCGACAAGACUUGUUUAAUUAACGCACAGUAUUGAAAAUUCGAUAAAAUGGCUACUCCGUGCAUAUUCUAAUGGACUAGGAUAUUUCGUCAUUCAAACUUUAAAUACGAAAUAAACUCAUUGAUUUAAUGGCAUCUGUCCUGGAGAUUAUUGCUUAUCUUGUAAUUGUUGCAAUAUUAUGGGGAGUUACAAAUCCGUUGUUGAAAAAAGGUGCUACAGGUAUAGACGAUGUAAAGGCGUCGUCGACGUCUGGGAAAUUUCUCCGUGAAGUGUACUUUUUGGUUACGAACCUCAAGUAUAUGAUACCCUUUCUCGUGAAUCAAUGUGGCUCCCUUCUGUAUGUUAUGACACUGCAAAGUGCAGAUUUGUCAUUGGCGGUGCCUGUCACAAAUUCUUUGACAUUUGUGGUUACGGCCAUGGCUGGUUGGAUUUUUGGGGAAGAGAAACCACAUAAAAAUGUCUACAUUGGAAUUCUUAUGAUCAUAGCAGGGACGACAAUAUGUUGUCUCGACAAACUAAAUAAUGAGAACAGUAUUGUGACUGCAUACUAAAAUUAUGGAAAUAACUUAUUCAGCAGUGUGAAAUGAGAUAGACAAAGAAGCAGGAAAAUUUCAAAUGAUCUUUCAAAGUCGUUGAUCGACCAAAGAGAAAAACAAAUUGAAAGUUGAGAAAUUCUGUACUGGUUGCAAAAAGGAUUGAACUCAAUAUCUAAUAAGGCGAUAGAGUUACAAAAUGAAGGUUUGUUUCUGGCGUUUCAGGCAUUUGAGGUGCAUUUUUCGCUCGUUCUAGGAAUAAUAUAGAUACUCGUUAAUUGAAUGGUAAAUAUGAAUGUAUAUAAAUUUACUCGUUAAAUCGAUAUAAAGAGAAUUGGUUAAGAAUUUA